GUGAGACGCGCACGCAGCCGGCUCCGCACGAGAUGGAGCAGACCGAGGUGCUGAAGCCACGGACCCUGGCGGAUCUGAUCCGCAUCCUGCACCGGCUCUUCGCCGGCGAUGAGGUCAAUGUAGAGGAGGUGCAGGCCAUCAUGGAAGCCUACGAGAGCGACCCCACCGAGUGGGCUAUGUACGCCAAGUUCGACCAGUACAGGUAUACCCGAAAUCUUGUGGAUCAAGGAAACGGAAAAUUUAAUCUGAUGAUUCUCUGUUGGGGUGAAGGACAUGGCAGCUCGCCAAAGGAAGGAGAAAAGAGAAAAGCCUUGGGGAAAAAAACAUUAAAUGUUAAGUGGAUCUUCUCAAUGUGCAGUAUUCAUGAUCAUACCAACUCCCACUGCUUUCUGAAGAUGCUACAGGGAAAUCUAAAGGAGACAUUAUUUGCCUGGCCUGACAAAAAAUCCAAUGAGAUGGUCAAGAAGUCUGAAAGAGUCUUGAGGGAAAACCAGUGUGCCUACAUCAAUGAUGCAGGAGUAGGGGUGGAGAUGAAUAGUGAUCAGGGGGAAGGAUGUUUCAAGUACAAGGAAGAGCACAAGUGAAGAUUCCAUUGGCUUACAUCGAGUAGAGAACAUCAGCCAUACGGAACCUGCCGUGAGCCUUCACUUGUACAGUCCACCUUUCGAUACGUGCCAUGCCUUUGAUCAAAGAACAGGACAUAAAAACAAAGUCACCAUGACAUUCCAUAGUAAAUUUGGAAUCAGAACUCCAUAUGCAACUUCGGGCUCACUGGAGAACAAUUAAGGAGCACCAAACCCUCUGAGGUUUUACUUUAAGCCUCGCUGUAUGUUUGCCUUGGAUAAAAAGGCUACCUACCAUGUGCUAUCCAGUAAUGUACUUAAAUAAGCCAAUACUUAGAUCUACUGUAAGGCAGAUGCUAAUUAUAAGCAUUAAGUAAGCAAGUAGUGCCCUCAGCUACUGCAGAAGAAAAGUCCCACUAAGGAAAAGAAAGUCUUGUGAUUUUUAAAGGCAAGUUUUCAAGUGCUCUCCUAGUUCUAUCCUCUGAUUCCAUUGAAUCCAUACUAUGAGCGUCAGUGAGGGUUUUCAUAGCUUUUGGAAAUACUUUGGUCUCUGAACUGUAAUUAGCAAGAAGUAAAAACAGAAACCUCAAACAUCAAAUGCUUGCUUUGUUACCUGGAGGACUAACCGUAGAUGUCUUUAGUAUACUUUGUAUGUUCUUAAUAUUGGAAGAUAAUUUUGUGAAUCUGUAGAUUUUAUUUUUUCAGUCUUACCUUACGAAUUUCUUUUCUAUGAAUAAUAGAGAGGAACUUACAGCACUCUGCCAUUGGGUAAUGAAAGGAAGUGCAGAGGAUUUAGAAAAGUACAUGCUCCCCAAACCACAACAAACCAAAACAUAAACUCACGUCUGUGUCCCAUGGUCAUAGUCAAAGAUUUUGUACGGCUAAAAUUGCAAAAUAAUUUUAAUAAAGUGGAUUUGAACACAA